AUGGACGUCAUCGACAGGAGGCGGAAUGAUGAAGGGGUAGGUAGUCACAACGAAGGCCUCGAGCGCACUGUACCACGCGAGGGAAAAAAGAUCACCGCACCGUGCCCGCGCGUGGGGUUGCAGCGCACCACGCGAGCAGAAAAAACACCACACCGUGCGAACCCUAGCCCCAAUCCACAGCCCCGCGCCCCUCGCUCCUCACUCCCUCGUCCGCCCCGAGCCACACGCACACCCAAUCCCCUCCCCUCCAACCCUAGCCGCCCCGCUCCCCUCCCUCUCCACGGCGCCGCCGCCGCCGCCUCCUCCCCUUCUUCCCUGCUCUCCACCACAAAGGGCGGUGGCGGCGCCGCUCGAUUUGAUCUGCGUGAUAGAGAAGAUGAGAGGGAGAGAGAGAAGGAAGAACAUGAGAGGAGGGAGAAAGAGAGAGGAAAGAGGAGAGGGGGUCGACGGCCGACAGGAGAGGACCACCGGAAGGAGUGCCGCCGGCUCGUCGUCUUCCACCGCCGGCGUCGGCCUGCACCAGUGAGGUCGGGCGAGACCUUGCUUCCAGGGCGGCUUGACCACAGUCUACAGGUGACCACGUCCCUUCUCUCCCUUCUCCCUUUUGGAGUAGCAAACCAUAGAGGAUAUGGGGCUGCACGUGCUUGGAGCAGCAAGCCAUGGCAAAGAAGUUUUGGCCAUGUUGCUACGAGGAAGCUUCCUUCAAUUGAAUCGAUCCUCUCAUUAGCUCAUGGAGGGCAUUGGCAGGAACAGAGUGUACUGCCAGGGGUGGCUGUUUGUUUACUGAAGGGGGUGUUGAUCUGCUGCCCCUUGUUCUACACUCUGUCCAACUUUGUGAUCUCACGUGUUGCUCACCUUGCUCUCAAGGUUGAUGCUAUAUUUGCUAUUCAUCUCCCUAUAGCAAGGUUCAUGGCUAGAGUUGAGCAGGAUUUUGAAUAUUAUGCCCUCGCUCCGCAUCGCACCACUCUGCCUCCUGCCACCGCGUUCGAUCUCCUCGCCUGCUGUUGUCCGAGUUGGUGGAGUUUUAGGUACUUGUGUCUGCACGUCUUGGAUCUUGGAUCAUGUGUGUUGCUUCAGAAAUUUGAUCACAUUUAUUUAUCUAUCAAGGUUGAUGGAAGCACACACACUCAACGAGUUCAGGUUGCUUUUCAUCUGAUGAAGAUCUGUCCUUCUCUGACAUUCUUUAGUUUCCAGUGUUUAUCAUUGUUAAGUUGUAUUGAGCAAUGUGGAGAAUCUAUGACUUUGCCAUGCCGUCUGAUUCUUCUCUUGCCUUGUGGUUGCAUCUUUGCCAAGGAGGAGGCGGUUAAAUCGCUGAAACAAGUUCUUGAGAUGCUUGUGAAGUACAUGGGGGAGGCGCGCAUAGUUGAUGAUUAUGUUCUGGGUUGGCCAUUGAGAGGGAGGCCGAAGCAAACUCCGUCAGGUUUCAGAUUAAAGAAGACUGAAAUUAUGGGCUCACAGCGAGGAUUGUUGUGUCCAACCUGCACAAGAAUGCCAAGAAUUCCUUCUAGGAGACGAUUAAGGAUAUGUACCUGCACUACAAUGAGAGAUUUGGGCUGCUUCUUUGUGGCUUCCAAACUUGAAAUCGCACCCAUUCCGACGGGCGGCGGGUUCGCGCGGCCACCGCUUCGCAUCGCCACCACAUGGCUUGGCCGCGGCAGCUUUCUUCUUCUUCGGCGGCCACCAAAUGGGGGGAGGGGGUGUGAAUCCGGGACGGUGAUUUGGGGGUGGCAUGGCAGCGACGACGGUGUCGGGAACGGCGGGAGACACGGGGCUAGCCAUGGCCCAUGGGGAGGUGCGGCGGAGCUACGGUGGCUGCUGCGGAAUCGGGGAGAGGAGUCCAUAGCAGCCUGCGAUGCUUGCAAGUUCCGAGAACUCCUCAUUAUGCAUGUGUCGGCGCCACUGGCAAUGAUUUUCCUUGCUUUUCUUCUCUUGUGUUCGUUCAAGACUGAUGUUGACGCACAACACAAUGUGCAACCACGGUUCAGCGGUCUGCCCCGCGCGGGCGAUCGCGUGAAGCUGAAUGUUGACGGGUCGUUCGUUGACACCGAUGGUGGAUUAGCAGGAGUCGAUAUGAUCCUAUGUGAUAAUGACGGCAACAUUAUCUUCUCCGCUUGUCGUUUCAUCUUGCAUUGUUCCGGACCGCUCCAGGCUGAGCUGUUGGCAUGCCAGGAAGGAUUAAGCCUUGCUCUACAAUGUUCUACUCGUCCGGUAGACAUCGAGAUGAAUUGCAUGGAUGCGGUCAAGUUGAUCAAGUCGCCUACCCUUGACAGAUCGCCACAUAGAAUGAUAGUUCAGGAUAUUAAGAGGCUCUUUGGUGAAAGGGGUAUCUCUAUUGCUCAUGUAGGUAGGAAUCAGAACGUUGUUAGCCACACCCAUGCUGCUUUCGAACGAUCAGAGGGCUGA
rnacentral:rRNA from 1 species